GGGCCCGGUGGCGAUAGGGUUACCCUAUGACGGCUGCCUGCCAAUCCAGAUGUAGAACUCCUGGCCCCUUCUCCAGUAUCGUAUCUGCCUGUGUACAACCAUGCCUCCCACCAUGACGGUAACGGACCAAACCUCUGAAACUGCAAACCAGCCCCAAUUAAAUGUUGUCUUUUAUAAGA